UACGUAGGGGCGAGCGUUAUCCGGAAUUAUUGGGCGUAAAGAGCUCGUAGGCGGUUUGUCGCGUCUGCCGUGAAAGGCCAGCGCUUAACGCUGGGAGUGCGGUGGGUACGGGCAGGCUAGAGUUCGGUAGGGGAGACUGGAAUUCCUGGUGUAGCGGUGGAAUGCGCAGAUAUCAGGAGGAACACCGAUGGCGAAGGCAGGUCUCUGGGCCGUUACUGACGCUGAGGAGCGAAAGCAUGGGUAGCGAACAGGAUUAGAUACCCGCGUAGU
rnacentral:rRNA from 1 species